AUUGAACGCUGGCGGCAGGCCUAACACAUGCAAGUCGAGCGGAUGAGUGGAGCUUGCUCCAUGAUUCAGCGGCGGACGGGUGAGUAAUGCCUAGGAAUCUGCCUGGUAGUGGGGGACAACGUUUCGAAAGGAACGCUAAUACCGCAUACGUCCUACGGGAGAACGUGGGGGAUCUUCGGACCUCACGCUAUCAGAUGAGCCUAGGUCGGAUUAGCUAGUUGGUGAGGUAAAGGCUCACCAAGGCGACGAUCCGUAACUGGUCUGAGAGGAUGCGCAGUGACACUGGAAAUGGGACACGCUCCUGACUCCUACGUGAGGCAGCAGUGGGGAAUAUUGGAGAAUGGGCGAAAGCCUGAUGCAGCCAUGCCGCGUGUGGGAAGAAGGGCUUCGGAUUGUAAAGCACUGUAAGUUGGGAGGAAGGGCAGUAAGUUAAUACCUUGUUGUGUUGACGUUACCAACAGAAUAAGCACCGGCUAACUGCGUGCCAGCCGCCGCCGUAAGAC
rnacentral:rRNA from 1 species